AUGAGGUCCAGAAAUCAGAACUCUAACAGACAUAAAACAUACCACAAUGCUGCAGUAGCAGGAUUCAUAGACACUCCAUGCUUCCAUAGGCAGAGGUUUGUCUUCUAUAUCAGUUGUUGAAUACCCUGAAACACCUGUUGGAUUUUACAGCCCACCAAAGAAGAAGACCACUACACCAGGAGUAGCAUUCCCAGGAUGACAACACACUCCAUGGUUUGGGGACAACAAGGAAGAUACGAUUCACAUAGACACUGAGUGGAAUAAGGCUUUACUCACAUAUAGAAGAAACAGAGCAAGAUUAGCUUCAGGGUGAGCGCCAGUCACCCAUGGCCUGCAGCUGAUGCAGGGUGAUCGUCUACACGUAUCUGUCUCCUAUUGCAGGCAAAGAAUCCUGAUCUUUCACUCUGGGGUCAAAAUACAGAAAGCUGGAGUGUGUCUGAGGGCCAUAUAAUGCACUUUUUUUUUUUUUCAGAC
rnacentral:lncRNA from 1 species